rnacentral:rRNA from 1 species
UACGUAGGGUGCGAGCGUUGUCCGGAAUUAUUGGGCGUAAAGAGCUCGUAGGCGGCUUGUCGCGUCGGAUGUGAAAGCCCGGGGCUUAACUCCGGGUCUGCAUUCGAUACGGGCAGGCUAGAGUUCGGUAGGGGAGAUCGGAAUUCCUGGUGUAGCGGUGAAAUGCGCAGAUAUCAGGAGGAACACCGGUGGCGAAGGCGGAUCUCUGGGCAGUAACUGACGCUGAGGAGCGAAAGCGUGGGGAGCGAACGGG